UGAGUCCGAGGAACUAAGGUUCCAAAGUGAUGCGAGUCAUACUUCCCAGAAAAGCCCGAACCACGUUAAUUUCUAAUUACCUGUACCCGAAACCGACACAGGUGGGUAGGUAGAGUAUACUAAGGGGCGCGAGAUAACUCUCUCUAAGGAACUCGGCAAAAUGACUCCGUAACUUCGGGAGAAGGAGUGCCUUAUUUAUAAGGUUGCAAUAACAAGAUCCAAGCAACUGUUUAUCAAAAACACAGGUCUCCGCUAAGUCGUAAGACGAUGUAUGGGGGCUGACGCCUGCCCAGUGCCAGAAGGUUAAAGAAGUUGGUUAGUGUAUGCGAAGCUGAUGACUGAAGCCCUGGUGAACGGCGGCCGUAACAAUAACGGUCCUAAGGUAGCGAAAUUCCUUGUCGGGUAAGUUCCGACCCGCACGAAAGGCGUAAUGAUUUGGAUACUGUCUCGGAGAGAGGCUCGGUGAAAUAGACUUGUCUGUGAAGAUGCGGACUACCUGCACCAGGACAGAAAGACCCUAUGAAGCUUUACUGUAACUUGAAAUUGGAAUUGGACUUUGCUUGCGCAGUAUAGGUGGGAAGCGUUGAAGAUAUUCUUGCGGGAGUAUUGGAGCUAUCAGUGAGAUACCACUCUUGUAAUGUUAGAUUUCUAACUUUGAACCAUAAUCUGGUCAAAGAACAGUUUCAGGUGGGCAGUUUGACUGGGGCGGUCGCCUCCCAAAUGGUAACGGAGGCGUACAAAGGUUUCCUCUGAACGGAUAGAAAUCGUAUCUAGAGUGUAAAGGCAUAAGGAAGCUUGACUGUGAGACCUACAAGUCGAGCAGGGACGAAAGUCGGUCUUAGUGAUCUGACGGUACUGAGUGGAAAGGCCGUCACUCAACGGAUAAAAGUUACUCUAGGAUAACAGGCUGAUCUCCCCCAAGAGUUCACAUCGACGGGGAGGUUUGGCACCUCGAUGUCGGCUCAUCGCAUCCUGGGGCGGUAGUACGUCCCAAGGGUUGGGCUGUUCGCCCAUGAAAGCGGUACGCGAGCUGGGUUCAGAACGUCGUGAGACAGUUCGGUCCAUAUCCGGUGUAGGCGUUAGAAUAUUGAGAGGAGCCUUCUUUAGUACGAGAGGACCGAGAAGGACACACCGCUGGUGUACCAGUUAUCGUGCCAACGGUAAACGCUGGGUAGCUAUGUGUGGAGUGGAUAACCGCUGAAAGCAUCUAAGUGGGAAGCCCACCUCAAGAUGAG
rnacentral:rRNA from 1 species